UACGGGGGGGGCAAGCGUUGUUCGGAAUUACUGGGCGGAAAGGGCUCGUAGGUGGCCAACUAAGUCAGACGUGAAAUCCCUCAGCUUAACUGGGGAACUGCGUCUGAUACUGGAUGGCUUGAGUUUGGGAGAGGGAUGCGGAAUUCCAGGUGUAGCGGUGAAAUGCGUAGAUAUCUGGAGGAACACCGGUGGCGAAGGCGGCAUCCUGGACCAAUACUGACACUGAGGAGCGAAAGCCAGGGGAGCAAACGGG
rnacentral:rRNA from 1 species